rnacentral:rRNA from 1 species
GAUGAACGCUGGCGGCGUGCCUAAUACAUGCAAGUCGAGCGAAUGGAUUAAGAGCUUGCUCUUAUGAAGUUAGCGGCGGACGGGUGAGUAACACGUGGGUAACCUGCCCAUAAGACUGGGAUAACUCCGGGAAACCGGGGCUAAUACCGGAUAACAUUUUGAACCGCAUGGUUCGAAAUUGAAAGGCGGCUUCGGCUGUCACUUAUGGAUGGACCCGCGUCGCAUUAGCUAGUUGGUGAGGUAACGGCUCACCAAGGCAACGAUGCGUAGCCGACCUGAGAGGGUGAUCGGCCAGACUUGGACUGAGACACGGCCCAGACUCCUACGGGAGGCAGCAGUAUGGAAUCUUCCGCAAGGGACGAAAGUCUGACGGAGCAACGCCGCGUGAGUGGUGAAGGCUUUCGGGUCGUAAAACUCUGUUGUUAGGGAAGAACAAGUGCUAGUUGAAUAAGCUGGCACCUUGACGGUACCUAACCAGAAAGCCACGGCUAACUACGUGCCAGCCGCCGCAGUAA